rnacentral:rRNA from 1 species
UACGUAGGGUGCAAGCGUUGUCCGGAAUUAUUGGGCGUAAAGAGCUCGUAGGCGGUUUGUCGCGUCUGCUGUGAAAACCCGAGGCUCAACCUCGGGCCUGCAGUGGGUACGGGCAGACUAGAGUGCGGUAGGGGAGAUUGGAAUUCCUGGUGUAGCGGUGGAAUGCGCAGAUAUCAGGAGGAACACCAAUGGCGAAGGCAGAUCUCUGGGCCGUAACUGACGCUGAGGAGCGAAAGCGUGGGGGAGCGAACAGG